rnacentral:ncRNA from 1 species
UAUUUAUUUGGUUUUAGUAAUAUAUUUAAAUAUAAGUUAUAUUUACAUGCAAGACCAUCAAUCCCAUAUUAAAUAUUUAUUUAAAAUUAUUUAUGCCAGCAGUAAAUAACCCUAUAAUAAUAACAAACAUUAAUACUGGUUAAUCUUUUAUAAAUUGGUAAAAUAAGUGCCAGCAACCGCGGUUAAACUUAAAAUUUAAUUUAAUUAUAUUGGAGAAUAGUACUAUUUUGAGAAAAGACAUUAAAUUAGAAGUUAAAUUCACUUUUUUCCUCUACCAAAAAUCUCAUUUGCACCCCUUCGAAAUUAAUAACAUAAACAAGGAUUAGAUACCCUUUUAUUUAUUAACAACUUAACCCUCCGGGUAGUAAAAACUCAUAAUCAAACCCAAAAAUCUUGGCGGUACUUUAAUCUACCUAGGGGAACCUGUUAUUUAAUAUGAUAAUCCACAUUUAAUUUCUCUAUAAUUUGAUAUCAACUUAUGUAUGGCCGUCACCAGCUUUCUUUGUAAAAAUAAAACAACCAAGAACCCCUUUCAUGUCAGGUCUUUAUAUAGUCUAUAUUAUAGUAUAAAUGGGUUACAUCUUUACCUAAAUUAUCACUAUUUAAUCUAAUUUGCUAGGACUUAGAAGUAAAAUCUUUAUAAAAUGUAGAUUUGAAUAAAGCAAUCUAAAGUGUGUACAAAUCGCCCGUCACUCUCGCCGAAAGGGGAGAAAAGUCGUAACAUAGUAGAAGUAAUGGAAAUUGCUCCUCAACUUAU